rnacentral:rRNA from 1 species
UACGUAGGUGGCAAGCGUUAUCCGGAAUUAUUGGGCGUAAAGCGCUCGCAGGCGGUUUCUUAAGUCUGAUGUGAAAGCCCACGGCUCAACCGUGGAGGGUCAUUGGAAACUGGGAGACUUGAGUGCAGAAGAGGAGAGUGGAAUUCCACGUGUAGCGGUGAAAUGCGUAGAGAUGUGGAGGAACACCAGUGGCGAAGGCGACUCUCUGGUCUGUAACUGACGCUGAGGAGCGAAAGCGUGGGGAGCAAACGGG